rnacentral:rRNA from 1 species
AGCAUUCCAGUUUGCUUGCAAACUGGAGAUGGCGACCGGCGCACGGGUGAGUAACACGUAUCCAACCUGCCGAUAACUCGGGGAUAGCCUUUCGAAAGAAAGAUUAAUACCCGAUGGCAUAAUAGAACCGCAUGGUUUGAUUAUUAAAGAAUUUCGGUUAUCGAUGGGGAUGCGUUCCAUUAGGCAGUUGGUGGGGUAACGGCCCACCAAACCUUCGAUGGAUAGGGGUUCUGAGAGGAAGGUCCCCCACAUUGGAACUGAGACACGGUCCAAACUCCUACGGGAGGCAGCAGUGAGGAAUAUUGGUCAAUGGACGAGAGUCUGAACCAGCCAAGUAGCGUGAAGGAUGACUGCCCUAUGGGUUGUAAACUUCUUUUAUAUGGGAAUAAAGUGGUCCACGUGUGGAUUUUUGUAUGUACCAUAUGAAUAAGGAUCGGCUAACUCCGUGCCAGCAGCCGCGGUAAUACGGAGGAUCCGAGCGUUAUCCGGAUUUAUUGGGUUUAAAGGGGGCGUAGGUGGACAGUUAAGUCAGUUGUGAAAGUUUGCGGCUCAACCGUAAAAUUGCAGUUGAUACUGGCUGUCUUGAGUACAGUAGAGGUGGGCGGAAUUCGUGGUGUAGCGGUGAAAUGCUUAGAUAUCACGAAGAACUCCGAUUGCGAAGGCAGCUCACUGGACUGCAACUGACACUG